AACUACUUGGCUGACAGGAAAGCAAGUGCUUUGAAAGCACUUUAUAGAAGUUCGAAUCCUCUAGUAGUUU
rnacentral:tRNA from 1 species